GCAAGUCGAGCGCGAAAGUUUCUCUUCGGAGAGGCGAGUAGAGCGGCAGACGGGUGAGUAACACGUGGAUAACCUGCCCCUUGGUGGAGGAUAACCACUCGAAAGGGUGGCUAAUACUGCAUAAGACCACGACUUUUCGGAGUUGAGGUUAAAGAUUUCGAUCGCCAAGGGAGGGGUCCGCGGCCGAUUAGCUAGUUGGUAGGGUAAUGGCUUACCAAGGCGACGAUCGGUAGCUGGUCUGAGAGGAUGGAC
rnacentral:rRNA from 1 species